rnacentral:rRNA from 1 species
CAGUAGCCGCGGGAACACGUAGGGGGCAAGCGUUGUCCGGAAUCAUUGGGCGUAAAGCGCGUGUAGGCGGGUCGUUAAGUCUGCUCUGAAAGUCCAAGGCUCAACCUUGGGAUGCGGGUGGAUACUGGCGACCUUGAGUCCGGAAGAGGCGAGUGGAAUUCCUGGUGUAGCGGUGAAAUGCGCAGAUAUCAGGAGGAACACCAAUGGCGAAGGCAGCUCGCUGGGACGUGACUGACGCUGAGACGCGAAAGCGUGGGGAGCAAACAGGAUUAGAUACCCCAGUAGUCCCUGUCUCUUAUAC